AACAGUCAGUGUUUGAAUUUUGAAUUUAUGUUCAAAAGAGACAAAUAUGGCUAAAGGGCGUAGGCACACUCUCUCUGGGUCUCCGUGUUAACAUUUUUAGUAGCUUCUAUUUAAAUGGUGCUUUUUCUCUAAGAAGAUCGUUGGGUAUUUUCUGAAAGCUUACAUAAUGGGUGGAAGCCCCCCGCCUCUGCAGAGGAACACCUGAUUCAGAAAAGUAAACACCAUAACAGCAACCCAUUCAUCAGCUGCCCAGACUCACAACCAAGCAGACAUGCAGCGACUUUCCAAAAACCCUCAUUUCUGGCAUUACAGCCUGUGGCAAUAAUUGAGAGUUAAGGAAAGUGAAACUCAGAGAGACACAGGGAGAUGAUUAUUCCUCACGCCUCUUAGAAGAGCAUUCCACCCUCUCAGAAGAAGCACUUUCUGAAUCUGAUUCAGCUGAGAAAACAACUCAGGCCAUGGUAGCUGCACCCAGCUCUCUAAAUCAACAUCAACAGUGACCUGUGCUGAAGGGACAAAGGCGUCCCAACAUUCCUCAGAGCCCAAGGCUAGGAGAACUCCUCGAGAAGAUGAAAUUGAUCUUCAAGCACCCUCUACCUUACUCUGCAUGAUGCCACAUUCUUCCUGAAUCCCACCCAACUCAAGAGCAUGAUUUGCAUAAUAAAAUCUCUAAUACCUUGAUGAGCAAAUGUUAUCCGAGAUACUUUAAAAACUGCUUCCAAGAAAAAGUUUGCCAACCUCUGAUCUACGACCUCUGGACCAGCAACAUCGGCAUCACUUGGAAGCCUGUCAAACACGCAGAAUCUGAGGUCUACCCCAGACCUACAAAACUCCACUCUCCAGGGACCUAGAGAACAUGGAGACACUGCAGGUUUUCUAGCCUCACCCGCAGUACCAAAUCAGAAGUGCCAGGGGUGGGACCUUUGUUUGAGAUUCCCCAGGUGAAUCUGAUAUGUAGUCACUAGGGAAGCAGAAAGAUGAGUAAGGUGAUUACGCCCCUACCCCUGCCAGGUCUUCCUGUGGGACUGCUGCACCAGAUUCUCCAGCUGCAGGGAGAGUUAGCUGCUAAAGGAUCACAGCUGAGUGCCUCUCCAGGCACUGCUCCUGUGGAAGGAAAUGACCUUACCCAAGGUCACAUCUCCUUGCUGGGGGAAGCCUGCAUCCAACACCUGGCCAAUACAGGGUAAAAACGCCCUGUCUUCUCAAUUGCUGAAUGGUCAUUCCAGCUCCAGAGCUCCCUGGGGCAUCAGCUGAAACCCCUAUUGCAACAGCCAUUCCACUCCUCCGUCUGCCCUGACCUGUGCCCCUCACCCUGUUGGAGAAACUGGGAUGCUGACUGAAUUAUUAUUACAUUACAGAAUUAAGAAAUUUUCAUUAA